UACAGAGGGUGCGAGCGUUAAUCGGAAUUACUGGGCGUAAAGCGCACGUAGGCGGCUUGGUAUGUCGGGUGUGAAAUCCCCGGGCUCAACCUGGGAACUGCAUCCGAAACUGCCUUGCUCGAGUACGGGAGAGGGAAGUGGAAUUUCCGGUGUAGCGGUGAAAUGCGUAGAUAUCCGGAGGAACACCGGUGGCGAAGGCGGCUUCCUGGACCGACACUGACGCUGAGGCGCGAAAGCUAGGGGAGCAAACGGG
rnacentral:rRNA from 1 species